rnacentral:rRNA from 1 species
CAGAGGUCUCGAGCGUUAGGCGGAAUCACUGGGCUUAAAGCGUGUGUAGGCGGAUCGUUAAGUACCUUGUGAAAUCCCACGGCUUAACCGUGGAACUGCUUGGUAUACUGGCGGUCUUGAGCCAGCUAGGGGCUACCGGAACAAAUGGUGGAGCGGUGAAAUGCGUAGAUAUCAUUUGGAACGCCAAUGGUGAAAACAGGUAGCUGGGGCUGUGCUGACGCUGAGACACGAAAGCCAGGGGAGCAAACGGGAUUAGAUACCCCGGUAGUCCUGGCCGUAAACGAUGUCGACUAGAUCGCAGUUCCUUCAACGGUAUUGCGGUCGAAGCAAAAGUGCUAAGUCGACCGCCUGGGAAGUACGGUCGCAAGGCUA